UGUUUGCAACCUUGGUCAUGUUGACCAGGUUGACCAGAGACAUUCCUACUUCCCUUUGACUGUUUGACUAGUUAUGGGGAUUCCUGACACUGUUGCUCUGCAAACUUGAUUCUCACCCAGCUGGCUCCUUCUCCCCGUGAAGCUUCGGUCUUGUCAUGGUUGGUGGGAGAGGCACUCUUCCUCUUCCUCAUCUUCUUCUCCUCCUUCCUCUAUUUAGCAGCCUUUCUUUGAGUUCGGACUGAAGAGGUGGCAAGCUUCCUUUGAACUUCGGACUGAAGAAGCCAGCCGUGAGGAGGAGCUCGGAGUCGCAUUGCUUGAGUUCGGCAGCGGCGAAGGAGGCUGAAGAUUCACCGUUUCUCUCUUCAUCAAGCUUCAGAUUUUGGUAGCGAGCCUUAGUUCGCGGGACUGGGUGGACCCAACUCUGUAGCUUGGAGCCAGGAGAAGAUCAAGGCUAGGAUCGGGGGGGUGUCUGGGAGUCGUAUUGCCUACUCUAUUAGUAUUUCUGUAUUACCCUUUUCCUGUGAGUGUAAGACUUGUACUCUGACUGUAUCUGUGUUUUGGAAACUGUUGGGGUGUAUUUGAAUUCUGUAGGGCUUCUAAAGCCUAUACUUGUAGUAUUUCAGUUUCUGGUA